rnacentral:rRNA from 1 species
UAAUUAAAGGUCCGGCCUGCCCGAUGAUGAAUUUCAAUGGCUGCGGUAUUUUGACCGUACAAAGGUAGCAUAAUCAUUAGUUUCUUGAUUGGAAGCUGGUAUGAAUGGCUUUAUGAGAAAAAAACUGUCUCUGCUUAAUUUUUUAAGAAUUUUAUAUUUAAGUUAAAAAGCUUAAAUUAUGUUUAAAGACGAGAAGACCCUAUAGAGUUUAAUAAUUUAUUAAAGUUAUUAAUUUUGGAAUUUUUAUUUAUUUAAUUUUUUAUAAUUAUUUUAUUGGGGUGAUAAAAAAAUUUAAUAAACUUUUUUUAUUUAUUUACAUUUUUUUAUGAUUAAUUGAUCCAUUAUUUGUGAUUAUAAGAUUAAAUUACCUUAGGGAUAACAGCGUUAUUUUUUUGGAGAGUUCUAAUCGAUAAAAAAGUUUGCGACCUCGAUGUUGGAUUAAAAUUUACUAUUGGCGCAGAAGUUGAUAAGUUGGGUCUGUUCGACCUUUAAAAUUUUACAUGAUCUGAGUUUAAACCGGUGUGAGCCAGGUUGGUUUCUAUCUUUAAUUGGAUUUGAUAUUUUAGUACGAAAGGACCAAAUAUUGGUAAAAUUUAUUUUUUUUUGAAUUAUAUUGUUACUUUGGCAGAAUAGUGCAUUAAAUUUAGAAUUUAAACAUGUAAUUUAUACAGGUAAUACUUGUUAUUUAUAGAUUAUUUAUUAAUUUUUGUUAGAAUAAUUAUUUUAAUUAUUUGUGUUUUAGUAGGA